rnacentral:rRNA from 1 species
UACGUAGGGGGCGAGCGUUGUCCGGAUUCAUUGGGCGUAAAGAGCUCGUAGGCGGCUUAGCAAGUCGGGUGUAAAACCUCCAGGCUUAACCUGGAGAGGCCACCCGAUACUGCUAUGGCUAGAGUCCGGUAGGGGACCACGGAAUUCCUGGUGUAGCGGUGAAAUGCGCAGAUAUCAGGAGGAACACCGGUGGCGAAGGCGGCAUCCUGGACCGAGAUUGACGCUGAGGCGCGAAAGCCAGGGGAGCAAACGGG